UGGGGAAUAUUGGACAAUGGGCGCAAGCCUGAUCCAGCCAUGCCGCGUGAGUGAUGAAGGCCUUAGGGUUGUAAAGCUCUUUCAGGUGGGAAGAUAAUGACGGUACCACCAGAAGAAGCCCCGGCUAACUUCGUGCCAGCAGCCGCGGUAAUACGAAGGGGGCUAGCGUUGUUCGGAAUUACUGGGCGUAAAGCGCACGUAGGCUGACAUUUAAGUCAGGGGUGAAAUCCCGGGGCUCAACCUCGGAACUGCCUUUGAUACUGGGUGUCUUGAGUAUGGAAGAGGUCAGUGGAAUUGCGAGUGUAGAGGUGAAAUUCGUAGAUAUUCGCAGGAACACCAGUGGCGAAGGCGGCUGACUGGUCCAUUACUGACGCUGAGGUGCGAAAGCGUGGGGAGCAAACAGG
rnacentral:rRNA from 2 species